AGUCGAACGGGAUCAUUUUAGAGUUUACUUUGGGAUGGUUUAGUGGCGGACGGGUGAGUAACACGUGAGCAACCUACCUUUCAGAGGGGGAUAACAGUUGGAAACGACUGCUAAUACCGCAUAACGUUGUAAAAGGGCAUCCAUUUACAACCAAAAGAGAAAUCUACUGAAAGAUGGGCUCGCGGCCGAUUAGAUAGUAGGCGGGGUAACGGCCCACCUAGUCAACGAUCGGUAGCCGGACUGAGAGGUUGAACGGCCACAUUGGGACUGAGACACGGCCCAGACUCCUACGGGAGGCAGCAGUGGGGGAUAUUGCACAAUGGGCGAAAGCCUGAUGCAGCGACGCCGCGUGAGGGAAGACGGUCUUCGGAUUGUAAACCUCUGUCUUUGGGGAAGAAAUCAGACGGUACCCAAAGAGGAAGCUCCGGCUAACUACGUGCCAGCAGCCGCGGUAAUACGUAGGGAGCGAGCGUUGUCCGGAAUUACUGGGUGUAAAGGGAGCGUAGGCGGGCUUGUAAGUUGAAUGUCUAAUCCACCGGCUCAACCGGUGAUCGCGUUCAAAACUGCAGGUCUUGAGUGAAGUAGAGGCAGGCGGAAUUCCUAGUGUAGCGGUGAAAUGCGUAGAU
rnacentral:rRNA from 1 species